rnacentral:rRNA from 1 species
AGCAGCCGCGGUAAUUCCAGCUCCAAUAGCGUAUAUUAAAGUUGUUGCAGUUAAAAAGCUCGUAGUUGAAUUUCGGGAUCAAUACGUCGGUCGUGCUUAGGUACGUACUGGCGUAAUUGAUUUCUCCCUUCUGACGAACCAUGAUGUCAUUAACUUGGUGUCAUGGGGAAUCAGGACUGUUACUUUGAAAAAAUUGAGUGUUUAAAGCAGGCUCACGCUUGAAUACAUUAGCAUGGAAUAAUGAAAUAGGACGUUUGAUUCUAUUUUGUUGGUUUCUAGGAUCGACGUAAUGAUUAAUAGGGAUAGUUGGGGGCUAUUAGUAUUCAAUUGUCAGAGGUUGAAAUUCUUGGAUUUAUUGAAGACUAACUACUGCGAAAGCAUUUGCCAAGGAUUGUUUCAUUAAUCAAGGAACGAAAGGUUAGGGGAUACG